UUGCUUUUGGUGUUUUAGUCAUGAAGUCUUUACCCAUUCCUAUGCCCUGAAUGGUAUUGCCUAGGUUUUCUUUAGCUUUCUGUGGCAGAGUCCAGGUUUUUUAUGGCCUCAGAAUGGGGGAGUGUGUGCUGAUUGGUCCAUGGGCAGGCCUGAACAAAAGCACCAUUUGAUUGGCUAAAAGGCACUGAGAAAGUUCUCACUCUGGUCAUGAACUCCACCCAGAACUGGCCGCUCAGUUUUCAGGUUUUAAACUGCCGUUGACUUGAAGGUUGAGUUUCACUGGGGACCUACCUCUAUCUGCCUAGUAAUCUGUGUCUCCUGUAGCUAUCAUCAUCACUGAUUUUCUACGUACAGAUUUCAAUUCCAAACAAAAAUAUAUGAGAACGUUCAUUUCUCCAUACAACUGGCUGGGUCAUUGGCCUUAUCCCGCACCGAAGUUGAAACUUACACCAUCUGUUCACAUCAUCAGUUCUUCUGGUUCUCAUGCUUUUGAACUUCAACUGGCACAAUUCCACUGGCUCUCCUUAGUCUCCAGGUUGCAGAUGGCAGAUUAUAAAUCUCCUUAGCCUCCACCUUUAUAAUCCUAACUAUUACUGACACCUCUUUGAGGACAAAGGAAGUAGCUUUCUGCAAGCCAAAAAGACCUCAGAAAAACAACAAAUCUUCCAAACUCUUGAUUUUGACUUUUUGCCUCCAGAAUUGUGAAGAAAUAAAUAUCUGUUAUUUAAGUAGGCUAGUGUCUGGUAUUAUGUUAUGGCAGCCCUAGUAAACUAAUAUAGGUGUUCAUAACCAUAGGAAUAAACAAAGGAGCCAGACCUGGGUAGCACACAAACGACUUGAAAGAACGUGGAGUGAGUAGUAAGUGACUUUCCCAGGCCAUAGUAGGGCCCUUCUUCUCUUUCAAUCAUAUAAUUAGUUUUUCAGGCAUUGUUAGCGAGCUACAUGAAUAAGUAGACCCAGCAGACAUUCAUUCUUGAGACUGUAUUCCCCCAAAAGACUGAAUAUAUGGGCAGCAAACCUCAAUGAAGAGAAUAUUGAAAUAAGGCUACUCCUAUCUGUUCCACACAUCACACAUAUUGUGUUGGUUUCUAUUGCUCACCAAUUAGUUAAAACUUCAUGGACUAAGAUAAUAUUUAUUUAUGAUAUCAAAGUUUCUGUAGGUCAGAAACCCUGGCACUGGGCUGGGCGCGGUGGCUCACGCCUGUAAUCCCAGCACUUUGGGAGGCUAAGGAGGGUGGCUC
rnacentral:lncRNA from 10 species